GCCUAACACAUGCAAGUCGAGCGGAUGAAGGGAGCUUGCUCCUGGAUUCAGCGGCGGACGGGUGAGUAAUGCCUAGGAAUCUGCCUGGUAGUGGGGGAUAACGUCCGGAAACGGGCGCUAAUACCGCAUACGUCCUGAGGGAGAAAGUGGGGGAUCUUCGGGCCUCACGCUAUCAGAUGAGCCUAGGUCGGAUUAGCUAGUUGGUGGGGUAAUGGCUCACCAAGGCAAUGAUCCGUAGCG
rnacentral:rRNA from 1 species